rnacentral:misc_RNA from 1 species
UGUAGGAGUGAGCCUGCUCGCGAUAGCGUCGGGUCAGUCACCAUCAAUGUUGAAUGGUAUACCGCUAUCGCGAGCAGGCUCACUCCUACA